rnacentral:lncRNA from 1 species
UACCGGUCCCAGAAGAAUGUGCGCAGAAUACUCAGCAAGAGCCAUCUCUGACCGACACCACUCGCGGCGCAGAGAACCCUGAAAUUAGCUCAUAAUCUCGGUGGAAGAAAUAAGGAGCAUGUCCACUUAUCGAAUUAGAAAGAGUGGUAUGACAGCCGCGAAACUGGAUGCUACGGCACGAAGAAGGAGCCCGAUUACGAGCCAUUCGCCUCGAACCAAUUAUUUGCUAGAUAGGCUUGAUACUUUCUACUCGCCCGCCUUCUGCCGAUAUUCCACCCAGGUCCUAACUCAUGGCGGCUGUCGGUGAUGCAAUGCGAUUUCGAACACUAUUGCAUGUUAUAAAUGUUGGCUUCGUUGGCUAUCUCACACGAAUAGUCGUUUCAAGGCCUUUCAUGUCUUGCAGAUGCCGUUGUAACAAGCCAUUUAAAAAGUGCAGAUAGAUCGAACGAAGAAGAGGACGAAGAUAUUAAGCGGUCCCUCUGAUAACGAUGCCUAUAUUCUUCUUUCGACAAAUCUGCAACUAUAGACAAAGUGAAGAGUCCAAAGAUAGAAGUCCCCGGCCAAUUCCAGUGUCAAGCGAGACCGAUCUUGAAGCAGAAUAACCGGGGGGGGGGGGUUUGACGAGCCUUUCGAAUGGCUUGAAUGGAUGGUACCAAAUCGAACCACCAGAUGAAGUCAAGAAGAAUUCGAUUUUCUGUAAGAUUUAACAACGAAAGCAGAAAGAUGAAACGAAAAGACCUGGUGACACAGCUGUCACAGAUGGUCAAUUGCAGGGUGUGGAGUCUAUUGAGAGAGAUUAUAUACAAGUUCAGGUCAGAACUUCCUUUAGAUGCCCCGCGAUAUGAUGAUACUUGACGCAUUGCAUUGAAGUCGGAUGGAGACAAUAAGGAAGAACUACUACCUCAAAACAACAACAACAAUUUUCAGGCAAUUGUGGCUUGCCAUGGGAUUUGCAAAUCAGGCUGAUGGGGUUUUGAGCGCUGGGAGAAGAAGUCGAUGGACUUGAAUCGGGGCUACCACCAACUACGACAACUCCACGUCGGUUUCUUAGGGAGACUUUUCAGGACUCAUUGCCGUAUCCACCCCAAGGAAAGCACAGAGAAACAGCCCUUGGAGAUGAAUAGCCAGGUGGGCAACCAUGGGAACAGGAAGCUUCUUGGUAUAUCACGCGGUGUCCAUAUUGGCGCGGGUGUCGAGUGAUAGCGAGGUGCCUAUAGAAGAAAUCUGGGGAUUUGAUGUUAUUUGCCCUUUGAUUGUAACAGAUUGUAAGAGUUAAUGGCUUGCAAAUAAGCGAAAUUGGGUUAGAUGUAAGAAGAAAAAUAUCUCACUUACUGUGAUACUACUCGAUUGAUGGAUAUCUGUCAGAUUCAACCACUCCAAAAGGACGUUAACAUAAAUUACGGGGAAAUCUUGCAAGCCAGCCAAAAAUAUCUUAUGACUAGGUUAUGUUACAAAUACCCCGUGUCGCUCCGCCAACCGCCAUAAACACAUGAUGAAAUCUGAUCUGAUUGCAACAGAGAAAAGGUAGGAUAAGAAGAUACAGCUAUAGAAAUGGAGCGUUCCAAGGUUGUUCCAAACCGGUUAUCAAUAAACGCUAUGUGCUUAUGUAUCCUUGACUAGAUUAGCCCUGGUUUUCGCAUGACGGGGUUGACGGUGCGCAGCACA